GCCAACUGAGAACUAGCUCAGUGGUAGAACAUCUACCUUGCACACAAAUGGUUCCUGGGUUCAAUUCCCAGCAUCGGCA